AUUUGCCCUCUCUUGUACUGAAAGGGUGAAGAGAGUGGCAAUGGGUGGAUUUGCCCUCUCUUGUAUUGAAAGGGUUAAGAGGCAGCAAUGGGUGGAUUUGCUCUCUCUUGGACUUGCACCACAAGGGUUGAAUGGCCUGCGUGGGGCAAGCAGAGCCAGUUGGCGAGUUACGUGGGUAAUAAUCAGCCUGCUGUGUAAUAAGUGAGGUGGAAUAAGAGGAGGAUUUAUUUGUCUUGCUUGGAUCUGCCAUUGUCUGUCUCUGCAGAGCUUGCUGAGCUGUGCGCGGAGCAGCCUGCCUCCUGUAAUCGAAUUAUCGCCCCCUGCACGGGGCUAAGGGCUGACGCUAAUUGAAUUGCUCUCGUCACAGGCUGCUGUUUCCCCCCUCUGGAUCCUGCAGAUUUUAUUGUUUCUGGGGCGGACGGAGCUGCCCCAUUUAUUUGAUCUGUCACAGGCAGGCCCUCUGCCCUACCAUGUUUGCUUUAAGGCACACCACUUCUUCCUGCGACGCAAUUAAAAACAAAUAAAACAAUCUGGGACCUGCGAUUAUUAAUUUAUAGAUUCUGUGCAGACAAACGCAUUCCAUUGUGGAAAACCUUGGAAUCGUAGAUAGCGGUAUGGAACCACAUGCAUUGAUUGUUACACUGUGUACACGCUUACCAUGUAUUAUGUAUUGUAAGUCCACUCAGCGAAGAAUUAGUGCGCACUCUUUAUUGACUUUAUC